rnacentral:rRNA from 1 species
UUAGGGAAUCUUCGGCAAUGGACGGAAGUCUGACCGAGCAACGCCGCGUGAGUGAAGAAGGUUUUCGGAUCGUAAAGCUCUGUUGUUAGAGAAGAACGUUGGUAGGAGUGGAAAAUCUACCAAGUGACGGUAACUAACCAGAAAGGGACGGCUAACUACGUGCCAGCAGCCGCGGUAAUACGUAGGUCCCGAGCGUUGUCCGGAUUUAUUGGGCGUAAAGCGAGCGCAGGCGGUUCUUUAAGUCUGAAGUUAAAGGCAGUGGCUUAACCAUUGUACGCUUUGGAAACUGGAGGACUUGAGUGCAGAAGGGGAGAGUGGAAUUCCAUGUGUAGCGGUGAAAUGCGUAGAUAUAUGGAGGAACACCGGUGGCGAAAGCGGCUCUCUGGUCUGUAACUGACGCUGAGGCUCGAAAGCGUGGGGAGCAAACAGGAUUAGAUACCCUGGUAGUCCACGCCGUAAACGAUGAGUGCUAGGUGUUAGGCCCUUUCCGGGGCUUAGUGCCGCAGCUAACGCAUUAAGCACUCCGCCUGGGGAGUACGACCGCAAGGUUG